rnacentral:rRNA from 1 species
CUUACGGGAGGCUGCAGUGGGGAAUAUUGGACAAUGGGGGCAACCCUGAUCCAGCCAUGCCGCGUGUGUGAAGAAGGCCCUCGGGUUGUAAAGCACUUUCAGUGAGGAAGAACGCCUGGUGGUUAAUACCCAUCAGGAAAGACAUCACUCACAGAAGAAGCACCGGCUAACUCCGUGCCAGCAGCCGCGGUAAUACGGAGGGUGCGAGCGUUAAUCGGAAUUACUGGGCGUAAAGUGCGCGUAGGUGGCUUGAUAAGCCGGUUGUGAAAGCCCCGGGCUCAACCUGGGAACGGCAUCCGGAACUGUCAAGCUAGAGUGCAGGAGAGGAAGGUAGAAUUCCCGGUGUAGCGGUGAAAUGCGUAGAGAUCGGGAGGAAUACCAGUGGCGAAGGCGGCCUUCUGGACUGACACUGACACUGAGGUGCGAAAGCGUGGGUAGCAAACAGGAUUAGAUACCCGUGUAGUC